GACGAACCGUGCGAACGUUAUUCGGAAUCAUUGGGCGUAAAGCGCGUGUAGGCGGCCCGGUAAGUCCGCUGUGAAAGUCCAGGGCUCAACCCUGGGAUGCCGGUGGAUACUGUCGGGCUCGAGUCCGGAAGAGGCGAGUGGAAUUCCUGGUGUAGCGGUGAAAUGCGCAGAUAUCAGGAGGAACACCAAUGGCGAAGGCAGCUCGCUGGGACGUGACUGACGCUGAGACGCGAAAGCGUGGGGAGCAAACAGG
rnacentral:rRNA from 1 species